rnacentral:rRNA from 1 species
UACAGAGGGGGCAAGCGUUGUUCGGAAUUACUGGGCGUAAAGCGUGCGCAGGCGGUCUGCUAAGAGAGGUGUGAAAUCCCCGGGCUCAACCUGGGAACUGCCUUUGUGACUGCAAGGCUUGAGUGCGGCAGAGGGGGAUGGAAUUCCGCGUGUAGCAGUGAAAUGCGUAGAUAUGCGGAGGAACACCGAUGGCGAAGGCAGCCCCCUGGGCUAACACUGACGCUCAUGCACGAAAGCGUGGGGAGCAAACAGG